rnacentral:rRNA from 1 species
UACGGGGGGUGCGAGCGUUUGUCCGGAAUUACUGGGGCGUAAAGCGAGCGUAGUCGGUUAUUUAAGUCGGAUGUGAAAUCCCCGGGCUCAACCUGGGAAUUGCGAUGGAGACUGCAAGGCUAGAAUCUGGCAGAGGGGGGUAGAAUUCCACGUGUAGCAGUGAAAUGCGUAGAGAUGUGGAGGAACACCGAUGGCGAAGGCAGCCCCCUGGGUCAGCACUGACGCUCAUGCACGAAAGGCGUGGGGAGCAAACAGG